rnacentral:siRNA from 1 species
UCUGCAAAAGAUCUCAAGAGC